GUCCCAGUAGCGCAAUGAAUAGCGCGUUGGGCUUCAAAUCCAAAGGCAGAGGGUUGAAAUCCCUCCUGGUAUG